CCUACGGGGGGCAGCAGUGAGGAAUAUUGGUCAAUGGCCGGGAGGCUGAACCAGCCAAGUCGCGUGAGGGAAGACGGCCCUACGGGUUGUAAACCUCUUUUGUCAGGGAGCAAGGUGCAGGUCGGGACCUGCUGUGAGAGUACCUGAAGAAAAAGCAUCGGCUAACUACGUGCCAGCAGCCGCGGUAAUACGUAGGUGGCAAGCGUUGUCCGGAUUUAUUGGGCGUAAAGGGAGUGCAGGCGGUUCAAUAAGUCUGAUGUGAAAGCUUUCGGCUCAACCGGAGAAUUGCAUCAGAAACUGGUGGACUUGAGUGCAGAAGAGGAGAGUGGAACUCGAGGUGUAGCGGUGGAAUGCGUAGAUAUAUGGAAGAACACCAGUGGCGAAGGCGGCUCUCUGGUCUGCAACUGACGCUGAGGCUCGAAAGCAUGGGUAGCGAACAGGAUUAGAUACCCCGGUAGUC
rnacentral:rRNA from 1 species